CCCAGACUCCUACGGGAGGCAGCAGUGGGGAAUAUUGCACAAUGGGGGGAACCCUGAUGCAGCGACGCCGCGUGGGCGAGGAAGUAUUUCGGUAUGUAAAGCCCUAUCGGCAGGGAAGAAGAAAUGACGGUACCUGAAUAAGAAGCACCGGCUAAAUACGUGCCAGCAGCCGCGGUAAUACGUAUGGUGCAAGCGUUAUCCGGAUUUACUGGGCGGAAAGGGAGCGCAGGCGGCGCGCCAAGUCUGAUGUGAAGCCCCGGGGCUCAACCCCGGGCAUGCAUUGGAAACUGGCGGGCUGGAGUGCCGGAGAGGUAAGCGGAAUUCCUAGUGUAGCGGUGAAAUGCGUAGAUAUUAGGAGGAACACCAGUGGCGAAGGCGGCUUACUGGACGGCAACUGACGCUGAGGCUCGAAAGCAUGGGGAGCAAACAGGAUUAGAUACCCUGGUAGUA
rnacentral:rRNA from 1 species